GUUGGGGUUCAAAACGAGACGGGAAGAUAAAGCAGAGACAAAAAAACUCUAAACAACGGAAUUCAAGGCAGAGCAGGCAACCGAUGGCACACAGACUGCAGAGUUGGGGACAGAUAUGCAGGGACAGACUGGCAGAGACAGGGAGUCUCAGGACCUGAGCCCUAGGACCAUGCCUCAGGACUACCUGGUAUGAUGACUCCUUGCUGUCCCCAGUCCACCUGGCCGUGCUGCUGCUCCAGUUUCAACUGUUCUGCCUGCGGCUAUGGAACCCUGACCUGUUCACCGGACGUGCUUGUUGCACCCUCGACAACUACUAUGAUUAU
rnacentral:lncRNA from 1 species